GAGCCGCUAGCUCACUCGGUAGAGCAACGCCCUUUUAAGGCGUGGGUACGGAGUUCGAACCUCCGGCGGCUCA
rnacentral:tRNA from 1 species